rnacentral:rRNA from 1 species
AAAGCAGAUCGCAUGAUAAGCUUUUAAAGGCGGCGUAAAGCUGUCGCUAUGGGGGAUGGGGCCCCGCGGUGCAUUAGCUAGUUGGCAAGGUAAAGGGCUUACCAAGGCGAUGAUGCAUAGCCCGAGUUGAGAGACUGAUCGGCCACAUUGGGGACUGAGACACGGGCCCAAACUCCUACGGGAGGCAGCAGUAGGGAAUCUUCCACAAUGGACGCAAGUCUGAUGGAGCAAACGCCGCGUGAGUGAAGAAGGUUUUCGGAUCGUAAAAAGCUCUGUUGUUGGUGAAGAAGGAUAGAGGUAGUAACUGGCCCUUUAUUUGACGGUAAUCAACCCAGAAAGUCACGGGGCUAACUACGUGCCCAGCAGCCGCGGUAAAU